UACGAAGGGGGCUAGCGUUGCUCGGAAUCACUGGGCGUAAAGGGUGCGUAGGCGGAUCUUUAAGUCAGAGGUGAAAGCCUGGAGCUCAACUCCAGAACUGCCUUUGAUACUGGGGAUCUUGAGUUCGGGAGAGGUGAGUGGAACUGCGAGUGUAGAGGUGAAAUUCGUAGAUAUUCGGAAGAACACCAGUGGCGAAGGCGGCUCACUGGCCCGGUACUGACGCUGAGAUACGAAAGCGUGGGGAGCAAACAGG
rnacentral:rRNA from 1 species